GUUUAGAUGAUGUCAUGAUAGUGGGGCCCUCAUAAUGGGAUAAGUGCCCUUAUGAGGGAACAGCAGAGAACUUGCUUCCUCCCCACCCCACCCCAGCCCCCAUGUAAGGGUACAGGGAGAAGGUGGCUUUGCACUAGACAGGAAAAGAGCCCUCACCAGGGAACCAAAUCAGCUGUCUCCUUGAUGGCUUGGCUAUCCCAGCCUCCAGAAUUGCUGGUGAAAAAGCCUGGGGCAGUUUGAGUCAUGGAUCCCCCAUUUUGAUUCCUGUUUUGGUGGAAACACAAAGUAACCUAAGGCAGAUUAACCUAGGUUCUAUAAAUGAGAUUUAGAGGAUCUGCAGCCCUGUGGGAUGCCGUUACGAAGAAUCCAGAAAUAGUGAGUCCAUCACAAGUACCAUACGCAAUUUCAUUUCCACAUCUUCACUUGGACUUGAAACUCACCAGGAGCACCUUUCUGUUUCCCCUCUACCAAUUCAGGCCAAAGUUCAUCCCGAGUGUGGUUAACACCCAGCUUUCUGCAUUGCAUCAUCCGGAUCCCUCAGCAGUCAUUUGGGAAGCCAGAUACCAUGCUCUCUAGUGUGGUGUUUCAUCCAAGUCUCAAGUGAUGAAAGGAGACAGAAACUCGAAAUGCCUGACUGGCAUGGCAGCAGCCAAGAAGGGCCAACAUCCUGGAUAAGCAACUGGUCAGCCCCUCACAGCAAAACCAUGCAGGUCCCAAAGUGGUCAGAUAGCUGAGCGCAUGGCUGAGACAGCAGCUAGUCCUGUGAGGGCAGAGGGAAUCUCAGGAAAUGUAGACGAUGUCUCUGAUAAAUAUAUGCCUGUCAUAAAGUUUGGAGAACAGAAAGGCCAUCUCUCAUUUUCUCUGAGGAGAGUGCUUUCCUUGAAUUCUCAAAAGCAGUGUGAUACGUUAAUUAUAGUAAUCAAAUGGAACACCCCAACUUUCAUUCUG
rnacentral:lncRNA from 1 species